rnacentral:rRNA from 1 species
GUACACGCUGUGACUAGCAUAUCAAUAAGCGGAGGAAAAGAAACUAACAAGGAUUCCCCUAGUAACGGCGAGUGAAGCGGGAAGAGCUCAAAUUUGAAAUCUUAAAGGGUUUCCCUUUACGAAUUGUAGUUUAAAGAAGUGUUUUCUGUUGAGGUUUUGGUAAAAGUUCUUUGGAAUAGGACAUCAUAGAGGGUGAGAAUCCCGUAUUUGACCUUUACUUUCAACUUUGUGAUACACUUUCAAAGAGUCGGAUUGUUUGGGAAUGCAGUCCAAAAUGGGUGGUAAAUUUCAUCUAAAGCUAAAUAUUGGCGAGAGACCGAUAGCGAACAAGUACCGUGAGGGAAAGAUGAAAAGAACUUUGAAAAGAGAGUUAAACAGUACGUGAAAUUGUCAAAAGGGAAGCGUUUGACACCAGUGUUGUUUUUCUGAAAAUCAAUUAAAGAACUGUUUAUGCUAAGUUGUUUAGACUUUAUCAGCUAUCUGCUUAGUUUUGAGCUUUUCUUUAAUGCACUUUUCAGUUAACAAGUCAACAUCAAUUUCUUUUGCUGUAAAAAAGCUUGAGGAAGGUGGCUUGAGAUUCGUCUUAAGUGUUUAUAGCCUCUUGCCUAUGCAGUCGGAGAGAUUGAGGUCUGCAGCGUAGAUCCUUCGGGGCUAAAUGCAUUUGUGCUAAGUUAUAGCAUUUUAUAGACAACUUGUUGACUAUGAUUUGUCUUGUAGCUUACUCGCUUAUGUUAUUUUACCUACGCUUAGGAUGUUGAUAUGCAUGACUGAUAU